AAAAAAAACGAAGAAGAAGGAGAAGGAAGAGAAUAAAUUGUCUUUCAAAUUUAUUUAUUCCUUCAUUUUCCCUUUUUUUAUCUUCCCUCUCCCUCUCUCUCUCUCCCUCUUACUUUC